AUUUACACCUUUUAAGACAUCCAUUAUAUUCUAUGCUUCUGCUUUUGUAUGAGCUCUCUUUUAUUCCUUGGAACGGGUUGUGUAUACUUCUCUUCUUCGCUUAAAGAAACGAAUCAAGAUAGGUGUAGUUUCUGCGCCGAUGAUACUCAAGGAGGCUACCAUAAGUGCGGUCCCAUACUCCAAUGAAGAGCGCCUCUGUGUCAGGGCUGAAUGAUAUUCCAGAUAUCUCUCCAAAGAAGUCGAUCUCCUGCUCUGUUUCAUACCCCUUUGAGACGUCAUAGACGUGCACAAAGUCUGCCGGUUCGGCCAUGGCCAUGUAUUUUCCGUCGGACGUGUAGCGGAUCGACCGGAUUGCUCCAAGGUUACCCUUCAGGACAGCAACAGAGUGAGAUAGGUUGCGGAUGUCCCAUACACGGCAGGUCUUGUCUUGGUUUCCAGUUGAGAAAGUGAUUCCGUCAGGAUGCCACGCUGAGGCAAAGGAGUAGUCAAAAUGUCCUGAUAGUGUUUCCAGCGUCUGUAGAUGAAGUUUUAAAGAUUUGGCAUUAUAAAAGUGGUGACCAACCAUUUGAGACUAACUUACACACUUGAGUUCAGGAUCGAAAAUAUUUGUACCUUUCCUGUGUUGGGGUCUACUAUAAGGCCCUCGGGAUUGCCGCCAACAAUAGCUAGUAAUUUACCAUUAGGACUCAAUGAUGUGUGCUGUUACCAACAAAUGGAGGACAGAAGAACAUCAUUAGCCAAACUGAAACUCCGAAUUAUGCCAAAAUAAAAGGAAAACUAUGAGAGAAGCAAGGACUUUACGUUCACUGGCCAAGGAAAGGAAAAAUGCUUAACAAGCUGGUAUCUCUCCAUGUCAAAAUCUCUAACUCCACAGUCAUUAUUCGAGGCAGUAAAAUGAAGGGCACCACUAUGAACAGAUGACAAAAACUAAGUUAGAAGCAGUGACUCUAACAAUUUAAAUGUAAACCCUUCAGCAGAAACCUGGGUUUGUUGUAGAUCUCAAUAGCAUUGGUAAUAGCAUUAUCAUCAUAAGAAGUACAAGAGCAAAAGCUGACACCAGGUCUAUCAAGAUGCUGAAACCAAUGUGGAAAGUAGAAAGAUGUUUUUCCUACAAAUUUGCAAAACCACAUUUUCAGGCCAAAGUAGUAAAAUCAUAUCCCCCAAAAUCAUGAAAUUACGCUUCCCGCAAAAACCGUGAAAUAUUUUUUUCCCGGAAAACCAUAUAUCAUGUUUUCGCGUCAAAACCGUAAAAUUAUGUUUUUCCACCAAAAUCGUAAAAUCACAUUUUUCGCCAAAACUAUGUUAGAACCGUAAAAUCAUGAUUUUUGCAAAAAAUCGCAAAAUUAAGUUUUUCCGUCAAAACCGUAAAUCACAUUUUCCUCAAAACCACAAAUUACGUUUUCCCACUUUCUUGGUAUAAGAAUUAUUCAUGUCUACCACCACUAAAGAGAUAUUUAAAAAAAAACAUUAUUCAUUAAGUGGCAAAAGACUCUUAUAUCUUUGUUCUAUAUAUAUAUGAUAAAUAAUUAUUUAAAUAAACUAAAAAAUAUUUUUUUUAUAUCCCCUUAUAUUAAAUUUUUGAAGUUAUAAAUAUGGUCAACUUGAUAAUUUUAAUUAUUUAAGGCACUUUACAAACAAAUAAAAUGAUAAGGACUAAAAUAUAAUAACUUAAGAAAAUAAGUCAAUAUAUUUUAGUAUAGACUGACACGUGUCAGUUACGAGGCAUGUUUUAGCUAUUUAUUACUCCCUCCGGUUUUUAAUAUAAGUCGUUUUAAAGAAAUUUUUUUGUUCCAAAUUAUAUGUCGUUUUCGAUUUUCUAUGUAAAAUUUAUUAAUAAUUAAUGAUGUCUGACCAAUGAUAAUAUAUUUUCUAUUUUUCUAUUGGUUGAAUUGUAGUUAGGUAAAUAAUUAAUGAUGUUUUUGUUUAGAAAAUAUAAGAAAUUAAUGAUUUUCUUAAUCUAUGUGCAUAGCUGUAAGACGACUUAUAUUAAAAAACGGAGGGAGUAUAAGUUUAGGUAUGAACUUCAAAAUUUUAUUUAGUUUACGAAUGUUUUAGCACGUUAAUAUACUCUAGAUAUAUAUUUUUUCCGCUUUCAUAGUGUGAAUAUGAAUAAACCGUUUUCCCCAGUAAGAAACAGACAACAAACGAAGUUAGAAGCAGUGACUUUUAACAAUCUAAUGCGGACAGCAAAAGAAAGAGGCAAAAAACCUGGGUUUGUUGUAGAUUUCAAUAGCAUUGGUAAUAGCAUUAUCAUCAUAAGUAGUACGAGAGAAAAAGCUGACCCCAGGUCUAUCAAGAUGCUGAAACCAAAGUGGAAAGUAGAAAUAGAUGAAGCUUUGUCAAUAAUAAUGCAUAUGGCUACUCAAUAAUCAAUAUAUCCAGACUCUUGACAUUGCAUAUAAGAUCUCCUUGAAAUCCACCGGCAAUUAUUCGUCUUUUAUUGCAAGUGUGCUUAUAUGUGUAAACUCUUCCAGCAAACUUCCAUGGUGUUUCUAAGGGGCUGCUAGUUGGAGUUUGAUUUAUAUAGAUUUUGUUGAUUAGAAGAGUAUAUAUACUUGUUGAAUUUGGAAUGAGUUGGAGAAAAUUUUGUAACAAUCUAUAAAAAUAAAUAACUCAAAUAUUUUUUAGAAUCCAAAGGAUAUAUGUAGUACUUUUUAUGAGUUAAAUAAUUAAGAAUACAAUUCUCAAUAACAGUAACUUUAAUAAAUUUACAGAAAUAUUAAAAUCCAAACUUUCGAAUAACAAAUGAUUUUUAGAUUUUAGUGAGAAUAUGAAAAUCUAUAAAUCAAUAACACUACUAUUUAAAUUCUAAAAAUUAAUUCCACUAACACCUUCUAAAUGCACCAAAAAAUCAAAUAAGUAUAUUAUUUUAAUGGGCCGUGUGGUUAGACAAACUCAUUAACUAAUCAAUGGGCUUUAUUAACAUUAUCUCACCAAUCUAGUCAAUGUAUAUAGAUAUGUAUCUAGCCAAAAAAGGGAAGCAAUCUUAAAUUGUAUCUUUUUGGUCUUGUUAAGACUAAAACAGUCAUUAACACAUCAGCAAUACUUAUCUAAUUAAUUAAUUACAUUUAUUUUUUAAAUAUCAUUAAAGCUUUGAAUGUUUACAACCACACCAUAGUUAAUAAUUACGAAAAUCUCUACAUAUAUUUGUGUAUAUCAGAAACGCAAAUGUAGUUGUUACACAAGCUAACAUUCAGACCUUAUGUUUUCUCCUUAGGUGUUAAGGAACUGAUUUAUUAUAAAGAUAAUAAGGUCCUCACAAACUCUCCAUUCACCAACACAGCAAAAAAAAAUGUCAACAGUUUCACCCUCCUCGCAACUGGUUCAGGUGGUUCCAGACAACCACAACAACACUGACGACUCCUCUGCGGAGGUCAACUACGAAGAUCUUGUCCGUAAGUCAUGUCUAUUUGACCUUUUAUUUGACAUUAAGGUUCAUUAGUUUCCUCACAGGUUUAAAACAUUUUACAACACUCAUGUUCUUGUUUUCUCUUUACUUUGUAACAUGCUGAGACACCAUACCUCUUAUGUUUUUCAGAGGAAGCAAUGGAGAGCUUGUCCCUCGAGGAAGGUAUUAAAAAAAGGUUUCUCUAACUCUGUGGCUUUGUAUCACUUUGCGACUUAUUGAAUUUCCACCUUAUGGAACUUGCAGGCACUGUUGAACCGCAGAUUGGGGAUGUGGGAGACGGAGUCAUUGAUGGGACGACGUCCGAAGGUGGAUACCUGGUGACGAUGAAAUUCGGUUCUCAAGUGCUGAAAGGAGUGCUUUACCAUCAUGCUAAAAGGCCCCAACAAGCCAUGGGAACACCACCUUCAGGCAUGCCACCAGCAUCACAGCGCCGAGCUAAGAAGAAAGCCAGAGAGACUACUCAAGUUGAUUCUAAGAAACCCAAAUUCCGCAGGAGUGGCUACAAACCUAAGAAACAGGUCACUUACUUAUAGUUAUCAUCAAAUCAAAUCCUUUAACCAAGUGUUUGCUUAUAAUCUGAUACCAUUUUCUUACAGGUUUAUCAAGACAAAGGAGUUACGGAUGGGGAGAGGUACAGAACUGAGAUCAUGCUGGAGUACGAGUCUGCACAUGAGUCUGAUGGAGCAUCUGCUUCUGCAGCCGCCACCAUGGCUCAGUAGUCUUUUCUUUCUUCUGUUAUGUUGUUGUCUUCUUCUUUCUUUAUUACAUUUCUCUUUCUUCUUUCUUUCUCUGGACAAGUUCUCUUUCUUUUAUAAUGAAUAUUUAUAAUGUCAUUGAUCAGUUUGCAGAACAUGUCAUGUUUAUGGUUGUAGGGUUAGUAAAAGAGGUUACUAACUGCGCAUUUAUGUCUUUCUUGCUAUUUUGAUUCAUGAUAUCCCGUUUGUUUGUUUUUUUUGUUUCUGUUUUCAACUUGGAUAUAUCUUAUGUUGUUGCAGAAAUUUGAAUGAACUAUUAUUACUCUUUCCGUUCCAAAUUAAUUCAUGUUUAAAAAAAAAGUAUUUUAAGAAGAUAUAUUUUUAUUAGAUAAUAAUGUAAAAUUUUAAAUUUUGAAAAGAAAUCAUGUUUACUGUACUUCGAUAGAUAAAAAUUAUAGAAAAUAUAGUUAAACACAAAAUAAUGCAUUUAUAAUUAAGAUCAAACAUAUUUUUAAUAUGUGUGGAAAAAUUUAAAACAUACAUUUUUUGAAAUGGGGUAGGGAACAUCAUUUAUUUAACACAUAUGUUUCUUGAAUCCCAUUUUUGUUGUUAGUUUUCAAGAGUUUCAACAUGUUCUCCCAACAUAUAAAAAGCUUGUUUGAUAAUCAAUUUGUGAAAUAACCAAAAAUAAAGAGAGGAUGGGUGAUUUUGGUUAGUUAGUGAAUUUUUGUUUUUUUUUUUGUAUAUUAGACCUAAUUUCCCAUUAAUAAUGCAAUGAAUGUUUUUAAGCCAACAUGUCAUAUUUGGCAAGAAUGCGUUCAAGGCAACACAAAUUUUUGUGAGAAACUUCAUUGAUGUUUUCAUAAUUGAAACAACUAACCAACACUACUUACUGUACACAUCUUGAACCUUCAGAAUUCACAAGGAAACAACAUGCAAGCCGCCGGCAAAGGAAACAAAAAGACAGUAACUACAAUAGCAUUUGCAUAACACAUCAUUUACACAUUUUAAGACAUCCAUUAUAUUCUAUGCUUCUGCUUUUGUAUGAGCUCUCUUUUAUUCCUUGGAACGGGUUGUGUAUACUUCUCUUCUUCGCUUAAAGAAACGAAUCAAGAUAGGUGUAGUUUCUGCGCCGAUGAUACUCAAGGAGGCUACCAUAAGUGCGGUCCCAUACCCCAAUGAAGAGCGCCUCUGUGUCAGGGCUGAAUGAUAUUCCAGAUAUCUCUCCAAAGAAGUCGAUCUCCUGCUCUGUUUCAUACCCCUUUGAGACGUCAUAGACGUGCACAAAGUCUGCCGGUUCGGCCAUGGCCAUGUAUUUUCCGUCGGACGUGUAGCGGAUCGACCGGAUUGCUCCAAG
rnacentral:lncRNA from 1 species